AAGCUUUGGAACUGAAGCUCCAGUCAAACUCUGCACUUCAACCUCACUGCCAACCGAAGCUCUAAGGUGCGGGAAA
rnacentral:lncRNA from 8 species